UUUCCUUUCUUUAUUCCAAACAACCCCAAAUGCUAAUGCAAACCAACUUGCAGUAUGUGCACACUUCUAACCAACUCUCUCCACAGCCGUACAGCCGUGUGAAUUGUUAAAGAGUAACAAAGCUGUUUUGUGGCCGGCAGAUAAAAGACCUGUGUACCAGCGAGGUCGGCCACUCCAUAAAUAUGUUGGCUCUUCUUAUUACAAGCUGUGUCCAUGACAAAGGACAAACAGCUGGGGAAAGAAAUGCUACAUGGCAGGAAUGGACAAGGGCCAUUUUCAGCCUGGCUGGUCAGACACCAACCCCUGAGCUGUCCCCGCAAAGGCUGUUUACUUGACCCACAGGAGAGAGAGAAAGAGAGAGGGAGAGCGAGAGAAAGUUGACACGGUCUAGCUUGGAGAGAAGUGAAGAGGAAGUGGAGAGAGAUAUGGUCAGGCUGAGUGAACAGUGGGGGCUCUUCAGUCUACCCAGAGGAGUCUAGAGCGUGGAGGGUCUCUUUGUCCCCCGUUUGAUCUUUGUCUUCUGAUGACACAGCAGGAAACUGAAGAAGAAAGGAGGUUUGGACUACUGUCUAAUAAACACACAGACAGAAUACCCUUAUUUUCUGCCACAUAUCCGGUCUUUAUAACUGGAUCCAUGGGUGAUUCAACCAUAGACCUGUAUUAGCCAAGCUGUCCUGAACACAGUGUUCUCAAGAGAGCAAACUCUUUCCACAGUAUCAACUUUAAAAAUGUAACCUUAUCAUUACCACUUUGUUUUUGCAUUCAGUAAAAAGUUACAAAUGAAAACUGUCCAUGCCAACAUUUAUUGUUUUUCUGACUCAUUGCGACAGUCUUUUCAUAGCAAGGCACACUAAAUGGUCUUUUUCAGUCAUUAGAUACAGUGGCUGUGUUUAAUUCAUCACUGAAAAUAUUUUAUGAGCAUAUUUAAGAGAUACAAUGAUUUGUAUCAAAAACGGUCACAUCUAAUUUAUGUUACUGACUCCAAUAGUUAAAGGGAGGUGAUGCCCUGAUGUAUAACAAAAACAGAAACACAUAUAUAUUUUUUUACCCUGCCAUAUCUCUUGUGUGUAAUAAUAAAUGAAUUAGUUGUGGGGAG
ensembl:lncRNA